AUUGAACGCUGGCGGCAUGCUUUGCACGUGCAAGUCGAACGGCAGCACGGACUUCGGUCUGGUGGCGAGUGGCGAACGGGUGAGUAAUACAUCGGAACGUACCCAGUAAUGGGGGAUAACUAUCCGAAAGGAUAGCUAAUACCGCAUACGCCCUACGGGGGAAAGAGGGGGAUCGCAAGACCUCUUGUUAUUGGAGCGGCCGAUGGCUGAUUAGAUAGUUGGUGGGGUAAAGGCCUACCAAGGCAACGAUCAGUAGCGGGUCUUAGAGGACGAUCAGCCACACGGGAAGUGAGACACGGUGCAGACUCCUACGGGAGGCAGCAGUGGGGAAUCUUGGACAGUGGGCGCAAGCCUGAUGCAGCAAUGCCGCGUGCGUGAAGAAGGCCUUCGGGUUGUAAAGCGCUUUUGUCAGGGAGCAAAUCCUUGUGGCUAAUACCCACCGGGGAUGAGAGUACCUGAAGAAUAAGGACCGGCUAACUACGUGCCAGCAGCCGCAGUAA
rnacentral:rRNA from 1 species